rnacentral:snoRNA from 1 species
UGGAAGUGAUGACAAGGAGAUAAUUGGGUGUGUUUGGAUGGAGUGUGAGUGGGAAAGGGAAUUAAUCAAACUGGGGUGGGGGUUUUGUGUGUGUGGGGUGUGAGGGGGCUCUCCUGGGGGCACUGAUGGCAGUGCUGAGCCAGGAGUGCAUCUGAGGCGUGUUGGGCACCUCAGGGGCCCCUCUCCAACACUGCCAGUGAUUAAAGCCCCAAAAAAAUCCCACCAGGAGAGCCCCAGGAUGCCCAAAACAUCUCCCAGGGUCACCUGUGGUCCUGUGAUCUGAUCUCA